rnacentral:rRNA from 1 species
ACUGAAUAGAUACCCUGGUAGUCCACGCCCUAAACGAUGUCUACUAGUUGUUGGUGGAGUAAAAUCCAUGAGUAAACGCAGCUAACGCGUGAAGUAGACCGCCUGGGGAGUACGGUCGCAAGAUUAAAACCUCAAAGGAAUUGACGGGGGCCCGCACAAGCGGUGGAUUAUGUGGAUUAAUUCGAUGCGACGCGAAAAACCCUUACCUGGCCUUGACAUGCCACUAACGAAGCAGAGAUGCAUUAGGUGCCCGUAAGGGAAAGUGGACACAGGUGCUGCAUGGCUGUCGUCAGCUCGUGUCGUGAGAUGUU